rnacentral:misc_RNA from 1 species
GUAUUGUAUGCGUUAAACGCGACAAACAUUCCAUGAGACUUUACGGCAGUGUGUGUGUAAAUACAUAGAACCACAGCAAGGGGACAAAGUCACCCAGGCCAUAGAACUACAGAGGGUGCACAGGUGUGGGUGGAUGUGUGAACAGAGCGUGCACAUGCCCCCGGUUUGGGGACCAGCAACAACUCGUGUUGACAGUUCGGUAAUGAUCCUUCCGCAGGUUCACCUACGGAAA